GACGAACGCUGGCGGCGUGCUUAACACAUGCAAGUCGAACGGAAAGGCCCUGCUUUUGUGGGGUGCUCGAGUGGCGAACGGGUGAGUAACACGUGAGUAACCUGCCCUUGACUUUGGGAUAACUUCAGGAAACUGGGGCUAAUACCGGAUAGGAGCUCCUGCUGCAUGGUGGGGGUUGGAAAGUUUCGGCGGUUGGGGAUGGACUCGCGGCUUAUCAGCUUGUUGGUGGGGGAGUGGCUUACCAAGGCUUUGACGGGUAGCCGGCCUGGGAGGGUGACCGGCCACAUUGGGCCUGCGCUACGGCCCAGACUCCUACGGGGGGCAGCAGUGGGAAGUAUUGCACAAUGGGCGGAAGCCUGAUGCAGCAACGCCGCGUGCGUGAUGACGGCCUUCGGGUUGUAAACCGCUUUAGCCUGUGACGAAGCGUGAGUGACGGUAAUGGGUAAAGAAGCACCGGCUAACUACGUG
rnacentral:rRNA from 1 species